ensembl:lncRNA
GUGUAAUAACCUCUAAACAAAUCUGUAAACUGUAAUUUUCCUCUGUAAUUUGCAGCUGCAUCUCAGCUGUGAGACGGCUUUGAUCUUGGACAGGGAAAUGUGGCCCUUGAUGUGGCCUGAUACUUCUGGCACUUGUGGACAUGCUAAUGGAACUCCGAGAGAUGGUCAGUCUGCCAAACACCAGGGCUGACAUGCUGCCCACUGACAUAGCAUAAGCUUUGAAAGUCCAGAUAUGCCUCAUAGAGAAGAAUGAUGAUGUUAUCAGAUCUUCUAUCUGAUUGAGGAAAAG